rnacentral:ncRNA from 1 species
UAUCAUUGCGAAGCAGAAUUCGUCAAGCGUCGGAUUGUUCACCCGCCAAUAGGGAACGUGAGCUGGAUUUAGACCGUCGUGAGACAGGUUAGUUUUACCCUACUGAUAACAGGUCGUUGCCGUAGUAAUCCUGCUUAGUACGAGAGGAACCGCAGGUUCGGGCAUUUGGUACACGCACUCGGUCGACAGGCCGGUGGUGCGAUGCCACCGUCCGCGGGAUUAUGCCUGAACGCCUCUAAGGCCGAAUCCCGACUAUGGUUCAACGAUUUAACAAUGGGUCCCGUGAGUCGAAAGGCUCAAAACAAUGUGACUUUAAUAGGCGGCCGGUUUAAACGGCUGUCGCCUGAGCCUUGUGGCUAAAAAUUCCAUUGUGUAAUUAAAUAUAUAGUAAAUUCUAGAUAUUUAAUUGGUUUUUUUAGCGUAACAUGGUUGAACCCUUCGGGGAGUUCGAUGUCGGGACCCAGAAUCGUCUGUAGACGACUUUUGUACCGGGCGGGGUGUUGUACUCGGGAGAGCAGUUAACUCGCUGCGAUCUGUUGAGACUCAGCCCUAGCUGGGGAGAUUCGU